GAUCUUGAAGAGACGGUUACGGGAGCGUGGGAGGGAUGUUGAGAGGGCUGCCACCGCCACGGCUUUGGCGCGGAGGGCCCUGGUUGGCGAUGUGGCUGUUGACUGGGAUGGGGCCGGACUUUUGCGGAGGCGGGGGGGCCCGCAUAAGGGAAGAGUGGCGGAGGCUUUGGCGGUUUGCAGUGGUGGACAUUCUGGGCCGCAGGUCAUCGGCGGGGCGGACCCCUCCACCAUCAGUGGUGCCUGGAGGUGGUGCUUGAGAGGGUCGGGAGCAUCAGGACGGUAGACUUCAAUUGCUUUAUUCUGAAAUCCGUGAGCGGCGGC
rnacentral:lncRNA from 1 species